rnacentral:rRNA from 1 species
GACGAACGCUGGCGGCGUGCUUAACACAUGCAAGUCGAACGGUGAAAGAAGAACUUGCUCUUCUGGAUCAGUGGCGAACGGGUGAGUAACACGUGUGGAAACCGCCCCAGACUCUGUAAUAAGCGCUGGAAACGCCGGCUAAUACCGGAGACGAUACAUAGCUGCAUGGCUUCUGUCUGUAAAGUAUUUCGGUCUGGGAUGGACUAGAGGCCUAUCAGCUUGUUGGUGAGGUAACGGCUCACCAAGGUAACGACGGGUAGCCGGCCUGAGAGGGCGACCGGCCACACGGGGACUGAGAGACGGCCCAGACUCGAACGGGACGCAGCAGUGGGGAGUAUUACGCAGUGGGCGAGAGCCUGAUGCGGCGGUGCCGCGUGAGGGAUGACGGCCUUCGGGUUGUAAACCUCUUUCUGCGGGGAAGAAGCGAAAGUGACGGUACCUGCAGAGGAAGCCCCGGCUAACUACGUG